GGAGAUCGCGGAGUAGUCCAGGAGAUCACGGAGCAGUUAUGGAGAUCACGAAGUUGACUUACUAUAAAGAAAGGAGAAGAGACACGAAGAGGGACACAUUGAAAACCCUAGAGAGAGCUACACACUUACAUCAACCUUGUUCUCAUCCCAAUUUUAGAUUCUUUCUCAGCUCAUUGUAUUCGAUCUAGUUCAGCUCAUUGUAUUCGAUCUUAUUCAUCAAUAAAGUCCAUUUUUACCUACUGGAAACUGUUUAACAUCGUUGUAUUCUAAAGAUAUCGUU
rnacentral:lncRNA from 1 species